UACGUAGGGUGCAAGCGUUAAUCGGAAUUACUGGGCGUAAAGCGUGCGCGGGCGGUUCGGAAAGAGAGGUGUGAAAUCCCAGGGCUUAACCUUGGAACUGCACUUUUAACUACCGGGCUAGAGUACGUCAGAGGGGGGUAGAAUUCCACGUGUAGCAGUGAAAUGCGUAGAGAUGUGGAGGAAUACCGAUGGCGAAGGCAGCCCCCUGGGAUGAUACUGACGCUCAUGCACGAAAGCGUGGGGAGCAAACAGG
rnacentral:rRNA from 1 species